GAUGAACGCUAGCGGCAGGCCUAACACAUGCAAGUCGAGGGGUAGAGGUUGCUUGCAACCUAGAGACCGGCGCACGGGUGCGUAACGCGUAUGCAAUCUGCCUUGUACUGAGGGAUAGCCCAGAGAAAUUUGGAUUAAUACCUCAUAGUAUCUUUUCCCGGCAUCGGGAGAUUAUUAAAGUUCCAACGGUACAAGAUGAGCAUGCGUCCCAUUAGCUAGUUGGUAUGGUAACGGCAUACCAAGGCAAUGAUGGGUAGGGGUCCUGAGAGGGAGAUCCCCCACACUGGUACUGAGACACGGACCAGACUCCUACGGGAGGCAGCAGCGAGGAAUAUUGGUCAAUGGGCGCAAGCCUGAACCAGCCAUGCCGCGUGCAGGAUGAAGCAUCCAUGGUGUGUAAACUGCUUUUAUACGGGAAGAAACACCGGUUCGUGAACCGGCUUGACGGUACCGUAAGAAUAAGGAUCGGCUAACUCCGUGCCAGCAGCCGCGGUAA
rnacentral:rRNA from 1 species